rnacentral:lncRNA from 1 species
CAGGAACCGCGUCUGUCUUCAUUGCCAGGUGGCAGAGAAUAUCACAGAGCCAGCCCCUCAGGCUUCAUAAAUAGUGUUUUAAGGAUGCAUUGACGAGAAUUGACAUUUAGUGAGAGUUCAUCCUCUGCCCGACAUUGCUAUUAAUAACCUGAGUUCUCCCGUUGAAUGAAUGGAGUCUGGAGUCCCAACUGCCCAGUCGUUAUUAGAUACACAUUGGGAAGAUGAGGACGUUUUUUCAGAGGAGAUGAGGGGCAUGCCCACAAUGACUUCGCUAAACUGGAUAGGGAGAGAGUGGAAGGGAGAUGAUUUUAGCUGAGGAACUGGCGUCUGAGGAAGGGAAGGUUAGGUAUGGGUGGAGCAGCAACUGCAGUGCAGUCUAACGGUAGGCUAAAAGAAACCUGGAUAGUAGGAACAUCAAGCUACGAUGGGACCUGGCUUCUGAACACAGUGUCAUUUACCAAGCGAGGGUGAUGUAAGAGAAGGACGCAUGAGUGAAUCCACUGACAACGUAAGAACAGACCUGCUGCACACAGGCUGCUGAGAUUUCUAAGGGCACCAUCCUAGAGGCUGGCCAGGCUGAGACAGGGCUAACG